rnacentral:rRNA from 1 species
GAAUGUAGCCAUCUAGGCAAUACCAUCCUGAACCUGCCUGAUCUCAGAAGCUGAGUCAGGCCAGGUUAGUACUUGGAUGGGAGACCACCUGGAAAUACCAGGUGCUAGAGGCU